rnacentral:rRNA from 1 species
CGGACGGGUGAGUAAUGUCUGGGAAACUGCCUGAUGGAGGGGGAUAACUACUGGAAACGGUAGCCAAUACCGCAUAACGUCGCAAGACCAAAGAGGGGGACCUUCGGGCCUCUUGCCAUCGGAUGUGCCCAGAUGGGAUUAGCUAGUAGGUGGGGUAACGGCUCACCUAGGCGACGAUCCCUAGCUGGUCUGAGAGGAUGACCAGCCACACUGGAACUGAGACACGGUCCAG